UACGAAGGGGGCUAGCGUUGCUCGGAAUGACUGGGCGUAAAGGGCGCGUAGGCGGAGUGCUUUGUCGGGCGUGAAAUUCCAGGGCUCAACCUUGGGGCUGCGUUCGAGACGGGCAUUCUAGAGUGGAGAAGAGGGUCGUGGAAUUCCCAGUGUAGAGGUGAAAUUCGUAGAUAUUGGGAAGAACACCGGUGGGCGAAGGCGGCGACCUGGUCUUUUACUGAGCUGAGGCGCGAAAGCGUGGGGAGCAAACAGG
rnacentral:rRNA from 1 species